UACGUAGGGGGCAAGCGUUGUUCGGAUUCAUUGGGCGUAAAGGGCGCGUAGGCGGCGGGGUAAGUCUGGUGUGAAAUCUCGGAGCUCAACUCCGAAAUUGCACUGGAUACUGCUCUGCUAGAGGGCUGGAGAGGAGAUCGGAAUUCACGGUGUAGCAGUGAAAUGCGUAGAUAUCGUGAGGAAGACCAGUGGCGAAGGCGGAUCUCUGGACAGCUCCUGGACGCUGAGGCG
rnacentral:rRNA from 1 species